AUUAAAUCCUCAGAAAAACAGUUAAACAAAAUAAAUGUUUCUCCUGUACGCUAUAUUAUUUAGCCAUGGUGUCGGUUGUGUUAGGCCUCAAGCCAUGCCUCGGUCCACAGUUCGUGUGUGAAUCCGACAAAACGUUAUUUCGAGACACUGGCGCGUAAUGAAGGGAAAGAGCCGCUACAGCGGGGCAGUAAACACCAGAGUUUAGCUCUUGUGUGAAAGUAAAGUUAACGUUAGGCUGGGUCGCAGACAUGCACCCACCAUCUCGACAGGACUAUGUAGCUAUAAGCUUUGCUAGACAAGGAAGUGGAAGUUACAGUAACAGUAAGCAGUGGAGGAGGCAGUCCUGCUGGAGGAAAUGGAAGCAGCUGUCCAGGCUGCAGCGGAGCCUCAUCCUUUUCAUCCUCGUCCUCCUGUUUAUUUGUGGAAUUGCUUCCUAUCCUGCUGUAACUGAACACAUCAGAGGCCUUACAGAUGGCGAGCAAGACACAGACAGUAACAGCAUCCUGAGGCCUGUCAUCCCUCAUGUGCCACCUCUCAAACAGGGCCCACCACCACUGCCAGAACAACCCUCCCAGGUUUCUAUAUAUAUGCUUCUCUUCUUUGAAGGGAAGCACUGGGUUUUAUAUUCAAUGUCAAUAUAUAUAUUUGGAUAGACAGAUUGUGUUAUUCAGGUGACUGUAGUGAAGAGUUGGAGUAUUGUUGUGGAAUUAGAUAGUUGGUAGUGUUGUACCGAAUGUUUGUUUUUACAUUCAGAGCUUCCAUUGAGGUUUUCGAAUGAAGCUUCAAAUUUCUGGCUCUCUUUGAAAGAGAUUUGAAUAAAGGGACAUUUUAAAUAAAUUCAAAUGAUGUGA